rnacentral:rRNA from 1 species
CCUACGGGAGGCUGCAGUGGGGAAUAUUGGACAAUGGGGGCAACCCUGAUCCAGCCAUGCCGCGUGUGUGAAGAAGGCCCUCGGGUUGUAAAGCACUUUCAGUGAGGAAGAACGCCUGGUGGUUAAUACCCAUCAGGAAAGACAUCACUCACAGAAGAAGCACCGGCUAACUCCGUGCCAGCAGCCGCGGUAAUACGGAGGGUGCGAGCGUUAAUCGGAAUUACUGGGCGUAAAGCGCGCGUAGGUGGCUUGAUAAGCCGGUUGUGAAAGCCCCGGGCUCAACCUGGGAACGGCAUCCGGAACUGUCAAGCUAGAGUGCAGGAGAGGAAGGUAGAAUUCCCGGUGUAGCGGUGAAAUGCGUAGAGAUCGGGAGGAAUACCAGUGGCGAAGGUGGCCUUCUGGACUGACACUGACACUGAGGUGCGAAAGCGUGGGUAGCAAACAGGAUUAGAUACCCUAGUAGUC